AUGAUGGAAGAUUCUUCUCGUUCUCAGGUGGUUGGGCCUGGUCUUGGGUUUGGGCUUGGACCUGGACUUCAAAAAUUAGCUGGAGGCGUUCACGGAGGCAAGAGGCGCAAACACCGACGGUGCUUGUAAGAUCCGGUAAGUGUUUCUUACACCUCAUUUCUUCUUCUUCUUCCUUCUGGUGUGUGUUUCUCUAUACGACACCGUUUUGGUUUUAUAUUGUGGUUGCGUUCUUAAUGAUUGUGUUGUGUUACCAACUAUAAGAAAGGAUCUGAAUUUGAUGGAGAAUUCUAAGAGAAGGUUUUGUCCUUUUGUUGGAUUAUUAAGUUGAUAAUUUCAAUAAACCAAUAAAUGAAUAAGAAGAUUAUAAGGAUUUAGAUUUUGAGGAAGAGAUUAAGAAGAGGUCAAUGUUGGUUAAUUGUUGGGGUUAAGGAUAAAGAUGGAGAACCAGGUUUGUUAAUGUUAACAAGUUGGUUAAGAGAAGAUUAUGUGCUGGAUUACAACGUCCUUUGAGGUGUGUUUUAUUGUGGUCCAAUAGUUUUGUAUAAUUGGUUAAUUAAUCUACCUUUUUUAGGCAAACAUUAAUGAAUCUACCUAAAAAUAAUAUUAAUAUUUUUUUUUACCAUUAAAAACCAUAAUCAGUUAGUUAAUGUAAAAAAAUGAAAUCAGUUCAUCAUUAAAUUUAAAAGAUAUUUUAAGGGAACUUUGUUACCCAUUGUGGUCUUAUCUUGUUGGUACGGUCCCAUUUGAUUUGAGUAUUAAACAAGUCUUUGAAUUACGAGCGGAAGUUCACACUAAAGGAGCGCGCUUUUUAACUUCAUUUUCAUUUGUUAAAAUUAAUAUAAGUGCCACCAAAUUCAUGUGAGAUUCGCGUAAUUUUACAAGACUCAAAUAAAUUUCAAUCAAUGUCAAACGAAUUUCAAUCUAUGCAUAAUUUUACGGGAUUCAAAUGAAAUUCGAUCAAUAGAUGAGAAUGUUAUAGAAAAUGUAUAUUAAGAGUUGUAAAAAAAUUAGUAUAUUUUUUUGAAGGAAAAAAAAUUGUAUAUUAAAGAGUGUGUUUUCAUAAUUAUUCAAUUUAAAAAUACUUUUUUUUUAAUCAAAAUAGGAAGGAAUUAAAUUAAAAACCAAAGGAAAUAUAAGAUUGGGGGCAAUGACCUGACCAGUAAACCACAAAAUCAAAACCCUAACAGAUGACACAAUAAUACAGGACAAAGUGGUAUAAUACAUCCAACGCUAAACCAUCACUACCACAGAUAAUCCAACGAACCCACGUGUGAGUACGAAACCGAAUUGAAAAUCCCACGUGUGAGCACGAAACCGAAUUGAAAAAAAAAACAGAGUGACAAAAAGAUAAUUCUUUUUGCAGGCAAAAACAAAAGGUAUGAUUAAUUGCUUAAAAAAUAAUAAUUAUGGAGCAUAAAUUUGGACCAAAUACAUAUUGUUUUUGACAAAUUUUUCUUUUUUAUAUAUUUUGUUACGGAUGGAAUAACCGAAGAAAUAAUAUGUUGAUGCCAGCUAUUGUGUUAAUUUAAAAUCAUUUGUUAUUUUCCUUUUCCUUUUUCGACAAUAUCAUCUGUUUAAUGAAAACAGCAAGAGUAAAGAAAUGUACAACCUCGUUUACCCAUGAGUAAUUUUUUUUUUUUUUUUUGGUUGAUAUAGGUAAAUUAUUUUAAUUAACAAGAGAAGAAAAAGAUAUAAUGAUUUAAAUACAAAUUAAAAUAUUGAAAAAGUAAUGAUUUGUGGGGGUGCUGACUUUUCAAGUAUACUAUAUUUUUUGAAGGAAAAGUAUACUAUAUUGAAAAGUAAUGAUUUGUAGAUAAGAUAGUAUAAUGAUUAAUUGAAGUUAAUGUUUUUUUUGACCAAGUUAACAUCUUUUUUGACAAGAUGUUAGUGUUUUCUCUAGUAAGGUGUCUUGCUUUAUCGCGGGUUUAUUGAUUAUAUUAGUCGGUUCCUCCUUUUUUAGUGACAAUUUGUGCUGUUCUUCUCUUCUAAUGAUUUUUUUUAAAGAUUUUAAAUAACUUUUAUUAAAUAGACCUUUUUGUUACAAUUUAAGCAAAGACUUUGAUUCCAAGUCUAUUUAUGUAUUUAUGGAUGGAUGAUGUGUUAGAUUAGGAACCAGAUUCUUGCUGUCACUAACCAGAUGUAUGUAGUUAAAAGAUCUGUGACCGUCUGAUUGAGACCAAACUAUUCAAAUCUCAAACUCCUGAUUAAUUUUAGAGCUUAAGAUUUAGACCUUUUGAUCUUGAUUUGGAUGAUCAUAAAUCUCUUGAUCGUGUGAGUGAAUGCGGUCGGUGAUUGCAAGGAAUUCAAAUUCUUUCAUCUAAUGUUUGUUUACUCGUUGACAACAGAUUAAGGUUCUUUUUAAGAAGCAAAAGAUACAUUUCAAUAAAGUAAAUUGCAUCCCAAAGCACAAGUUAUGAUGAUCGGAUGCUGGAAAAAACAGUACAAAAUCCUCCGACGAUCAACCUCAACAAGAAUAAAAACAAGAAAAACCUAGAUAUGUAAAGAUUAAUCUAGCGUGAAAGUGCUAUUACCCAUUUGCCACAUAGGAAAACCUCACCCGGACCUCCAAUAUCGAAAUAAGAAGCUACCAGGCCUCCAAUAUAGCUCAAAUAAUACCUGAGCUGAUCAAACUACACUGACACACUUUGAGAAUCCUCUGCCCUACCUAGCAAACCUUCAAACUGCUCUAGAUGUAACAUUCCUUCCUUUUGAAAGGCCGUAGAAAUCCUAAACCAACUACAUAUAUUGUACCAUGAACCUGCCAAAAGACAACAAAUUAAGGUUACUUAGUGUGGAUGUGUGGUGUGGGAGUUGCUUUCUCUUUAUUUUACGAUAUAUGCUCUCUCUAGUUUCAAAUAUAAGCAACAAAACUUUAUAUUUUAUUUUUUAACACACACGCACACGCAAUAACAAGCUUUUAUACGAGGUUAUAUUUUAAAACUUCAAAUUAAUUGAAUCUUCCAUGUUUGAUUCCAGUGAGAUAUUUGCAAAACAGACUGAACUGUGUAUCAUGCAUUUUCUCCUGCAUCAUUUUUUGAAUAUUGGUUUCUUCUGCAAUUCUUUUCUAUAUAAACAUCAAUGCUUAAAAAUAUCCAUGUAUCAAUUCAACUAUGGAAAGCCUACUUCCUUGCAUUUUUAUGCAUAGUAUCAACCAAACUAUUGAGUGAGGUUAUAUUUAUAUUUUGUCUCAAUAGGAUUCUGUGUUUGGUGGUAUAUAUUUUGAUGUUUGUUUUAUAUUCUCAGUGAAGAUGAGUAAUCUUUGCUCUUCAUAUUUCAAUUUGGUGAAGGUGUUUGAUCUCCAAUAAUCAUCUAAGGAACAUAACUUGAGCAAAUGGAGCAGGCAUAUAUUAAGGCGUUUCAAUCCAUGAAGUAUGUAUUAGGUUCAUAAUCCAUUCCUCUCUAAACUGAUUCAAAUAUCUUUUGCAAAUGUAUAAUUUAAUAUACAAUUUUAAAAUACAUUACAUUCAAUUCAAACGGUUUAUCUUCUGUCUCUGUACAAUUAAUAGUCUUGAAAUGCAACGAAACACAUGUAAUAAUCCAUUUGAGAUGCAUGUUCCUGGUAAGGUAAGAUACUGUUAU
rnacentral:lncRNA from 1 species